rnacentral:rRNA from 1 species
UGUCGGGUCUUUACAGACUUGGUAACGCAGCUAACGCGUGAAGUCGACCGCCUGGGGAGUACGGUCGCAAGAUUAAAACUCAAAGGAAUUGACGGGGACCCGCACAAGCGGUGGAUGAUGUGGAUUAAUUCGAUGCAACGCGAAAAACCUUACCUACCCUUGACAUGGCAGGAACUCCGCAGAGAUGUGGAGGUGCCCGAAAGGGAGCCUGCGCACAGGUGCUGCAUGGCUGUCGUCAGCUCGUGUCGUGAGAUGUUGGGUUAAGUCCCGCAACGAGCGCAACCCUUGUCACUAGUUGCUACGAAAGGGCACUCUAGUGAGACCGCCGGUGACAAACCGGAGGAAGGUGGGGAUGACGUCAAGUCCUCAUGGCCCUUAUGGGUAGGGCUUCACACGUCAUACAAUGGUCGGUACAGAGGGUUGCCAACCCGCGAGGGGGAGCCAAUCCCAGAAAACCGAUCGUAGUCCGGAUUGCAGUCUGCAACUCGACUGCAUGAAGUCGGAAUCGCUAGUAAUCGCGGAUCAGCAUGUCGCGGUGAAUACGUUCCCGGGUCUUGUACACACCGCCCGUCACACCAUGGGAGUGGGUUUCACCAGAAGCCGUUUGCCUAACCGCAAGGAGGGCGGCGA